rnacentral:rRNA from 1 species
GAUGAACGCUGGCGGCGUGCCUAAUACAUGCAAGUCGAGCGAACAGAUGAGGAGCUUGCUCCCCUGACGUUAGCGGCGGACGGGCGAGUAACACGUGGAUAACCUACCUAUAAGACUGGGAUAACUUCGGGAAACCGGAGCUAAUACCGGAUAAUAUAUUGAACCGCAUGGUUCAAUAGUGAAAGACGGUUUUGCUGUCACUUAUAGAUGGAUCCGCGCCGCAUUAGCUAGUUGGUAAGGUAACGGCUUACCAAGGCAACGAUGCGUAGCCGACCUGAGAGGGUGAUCAGCCACACUGGAACUGAGACACGGUCCAGACUCCUACGGGAGGCAGCAGUAGGGAAUCUUCGGCAAUGGGCGAAAGCCUGAUGGAGCAACGCCGCGUGAGUGAUGAAGGUCUUCGGAUCGUAAAACUCUGUUAUUAGGGAAGAACAAAUGUGGAUGUAACUAUGCACGUCUUGACGGUACCUAAUCAGAAAGCCACGGCUAACUACGUG